rnacentral:lncRNA from 1 species
UUUGAGCCUUCAACUUCUCUCCCCAAUUGUUUGAAUACGAGUUCUCUUACUCGGUCAGUCAAACAAUUGUCAUUUUUCACAAACAUACAGCUUAAUCAAAUCAUUUUUAUGACAAACUAUACGAAAAAGGAGAUGGUUUCGAGUUUUCAAUUCCUCUUCUCAAAUGCUUGGAUAUGAGUUGUCUUACUCAGUCAUUCAAGUAUUUGUCGUUCAUUCUAAAAUACAUCAACCAUACACAAACCAAUUUUCAUAAUCACUCAGAUGAAACAGAAAGCGGUCUAGAGUCUUCUAUUCCCUUUCCCGAUUAUUAGGAUACGAGUUGUCUUACUCGAUUAUCCGAGUAUUCGUCAUCCAUUCAAA